GUUCGACUAGUGAUAGUGGAUGGUAUUGCUUUUCCAUUUCGUCAUGACCUAGAUGACCUGUCUCUUCGUACUCGGUUAUUAAAUGGCCUAGCCCAGCAAAUGAUCAGCCUUGCAAAUAAUCACAGAUUAGCUGUAAUUUUAACCAAUCAGAUGACAACAAAGAUUGAUAGAAAUCAGGCCUUGCUUGUUCCUGCAUUAGGUUGGCAACAUUGUACAAGUCACCCAGCCAGAAGGAAUGCACAGUACUGUUUCAAAUCAAACCUCAGGGAUUUAGAGAUACUGUUGUUACUUCUGCAUGUUCAUUGCAAACAGAAGGUUCCUUGAGCACCCGGAAACGGUCACGAGACCCAGAGGAAGAAUUAUAACCCAGAAACAAAUCUCAAAGUGUACAAAUUUAUUGAUGUUGUGAAAUCAAUGUGUACAAGUGGACUUGUUACCUUAAAGUAUAAAUAAACACACUAUGGCAUGAAUGAA
rnacentral:lncRNA from 1 species